UACGUAGGGGGCAAGCGUUGUCCGGAUUUAUUGGGCGUAAAGAGCGUGUAGGCGGCUAGGUAGGUCCGUUGUGAAAACCCGAGGCUCAACCUCGGGACGUCGGCGGAAACCAUCUGGCUAGAGUCCGGAAGAGGAGAGUGGAAUUCCCGGUGUAGCGGUGAAAUGCGCAGAUAUCGGGAAGAACACCCGUGGCGAAGGCGGCUCUCUGGGACGGUACUGACGCUGAGACGCGAAAGCGUGGGGAGCGAACAGG
rnacentral:rRNA from 1 species